GGAGGGGUGCAAGCGUUAAUCGGAAUUACUGGGCGUAAAGCGCGCGUAGGGCGGUCUGGUCAGUCGGGAUGUGAAAGCCCUGGGCUUAACCUGGGAAUUGCAUUCGAUACUGCCCAAACUAGAAUGUUGGAGAGGGAAGUGGAAUUUCCGGUGUAGCGGUGAAAUGCGUAGAUAUCGGAAGGAACACCAGUGGCGAAGGCGGCUUCCUGGCCAAACAUUGACGCUGAGGUGCGAAAGCGUGGGUAGCGAACAGGAUUAGAUACCCUGGUAGUCCACGCCGUAAACGAUGAGAACUAGAUGUCGGGAGGGUUUAGCCUCUCGGUGUCGCAGCUAACGCGUUAAGUUCUCCGCCUGGGGAGUACGGUGGCAACACUA
rnacentral:rRNA from 1 species